rnacentral:rRNA from 1 species
UACGUAGGGUGCGAGCGUUGUCCGGAAUUACUGGGCGUAAAGAGCUCGUAGGUGGUUUGUCGCGUUGUUCGUGAAAACCGGGGGCUUAACCCUCGGCGUGCGGGCGAUACGGGCAGACUUGAGUACUGCAGGGGAGACUGGAAUUCCUGGUGUAGCGGUGGAAUGCGCAGAUAUCAGGAGGGACACCGGUGGCGAAGGCGGGUCUCUGGGCAGUAACUGACGCUGAGGAGCGAAAGCGUGGGGAGCGAACAGG